rnacentral:lncRNA from 1 species
UUUCUUUCUUUCUUUCUUUUUUUUUUUUUCUCUUUGUAGUACUGGCUGUCCUGGAACUUGCUUUGCUUUGUAGACCAGGCUGACUAUACUCUGUAGCUGUCUUCAGACACACCAGAGAGGGCAUCAGAUCACAUUGCAGAUGGUUGUGAGACUAUGUGGUUGCUGGGUUAGUGUUCCCACUAACUUAGAGUUUCUGUUGCUAUGAUAAAACACCAUCAUCAAAAGCAGCUUACACUUCCAUGUCAUUGAAGGCAGUCAGUGCAGGAACUCAAGAUAAGAACCUGGAAGUAGGGGGCUGGAAAGAGGCUCAGUGGUUAAAAGCACUGACUGCUCUUCCAGAGGUCCUGAGUUCAAUUCCCAGCAACCACAUGGUUUGAUGCCCUCUUCUGGUGUGUCUGAAGACAGUGACAGUGCACUCCCAUAUAUAAAAUACAUAAAUAAAUCUUUAAAAAAAAAGAAAAAGGAAAAAAAGGAAUCUGGAAGUAGGACGUAAAACAGAAGCCAUAGAGGAAGCUUGAUCCUCUUGACUUGCUUGCCUGCUUUCUUACAUAGCCCAGGCAGCACCCCUUACCCAGAGAUAGCAGAGCCCACAUGAUUGACAGGGAGAUAAAGGGAUUGGGGUGAGGGUCCUGGAGAAAUGGCUCAGUGGUGAAGAACACUAGAUGCUCUUCCUGAGGACGCGUUAGAUUCCUAACACCUACAUGGGAGCUAGCAACAGUUGUAAUUCCAGUUCUAGGGGAUCCAAUACCCUCUUCUGCCCUCCUCAGGACCAGAGAUAUACAUGUGGGCAAAACACUCAAACACAUAAGAUAAAAAUAUUUUUUACAUGUCCCCGGACUUGUUACAGGCAGAUCUUAUUAUGAAGGUAUUUUCUCAGUUGUGAUUUCCUCUUACUAGAUAAUGCUAGCUUUUGCCAAGUUGACAAAAACAACCGCAACAACAAAAACUCCAACCCUUUGUAAAGGGUUUUUAUUUUGAGACAAGAACUCCUUAGGUUGUCCAGGUAGAUCUGAACUUAUUCUUUAUCCUUGGCAGGCCCUUGAACUUGUGAUCCCCCUGCCUCAACCUUUUGAAGGAUUAUAGACCUGAUUCCCCCGGCCCAUGUGCAUUUUCUGUGGGGAUGUACACCUAUUUGUGUGUAUGUGGGGUGGGCAUGAUGUGCACAUUUGUACAGGGGCCUGUGGGAGCCAGAGGUCGGUGGCAGAUGUCUUCCUUGACUGUUUUUCACCCCCUCCUUUUUGUUGUUCUUGUUGAACUAAUCUAUUUAUUAGGGAAGUGUAAUCCCCAAAGAAUCUAUAUGGAUGUCACUGUCAAAGGCAAGAACUUAAAAGGUAUAAACAACUCUACAGAAAUCAGAUUACCAAAACUGUUAGUUUAAAACAUUUUAGAAAUGUUCCUUUGGAAGGGGUGAUAGGUUACCUUUCUGAAAUCAAGGCUCACUGAUGCCAUUUGGAAAAUAAAACAAAAACAAAAAAACCCAAAACUGGGAUUCAGCUCCCCCCACAGCAGCCUCCAUCUUAAAUUUUGAGACAGAGUCUUCAACUGAAUCUGGAGUUUAUUGAUUUGGGGGUAGCUGUCACUAAGGAGCCACCUAUCUCCACCAGUACCAGCCCUGGGUUGCAGACAUGCCUGGCUUGUUUAAAUGUGGAGUUGAGUAUCUUGAGCUCAGGUCUCAUGGUUGUGAGGCAGGUACUUUACCAUCUAAGCCAUCACACUCCUGCGUGGCUUUUUUGUUGCUGCUUUUUGUUGUUGUUGGUUUGGUUUUUUUAACUUGUUUUUGUAGAAACCAUUGUUUCUUACUAAACUAAUAGUAUCUGACUCCCUCAAGAACCAUAUUUUUUUGUUGCUGUUGUUGUUAUUGUUUGUUUGCAGUGUUGGAAAUCAAAUAGGGGACCUAGUAUAUGUUAGGCAAGAGUUCUACCAUUAAGCUGCAUCUCAGCCUGGUAACCACUUUAUUUACUAAGCUACCUCUUUCUUUCUAAGCCCUGGUACUCUUUUCUUUAAGCCUCCUUUAAGGCUCCUGUUUCUCACUGAGCUUUCUUGGUCUUUUUUUAUUUGCCCUCUGUGUCCAGUGAUUCCCUUCUAAGCAGCUAUGGCUCUGGUUGUCUGUCUCUUAUUAGAACACUCAUGUUUCCUUUCUUCUGUGUAAUGUUUUUGAUGGAAGUCUUAUCUUCUAAACUAGGUUUUCAUCUUCAUCAAGCAAGGAGCAUAUCUUAUUACCAUUUUAUAGACGUCUUCCAUAGAUCUGUGUUUGAUGAAUAUCUGUUUAAUAUUCAGUUCUCACUCAGCUGUCCAAAAAAAAAAAUGCUCUGUUUUGUGAUCACUAAUUCUUGAUUCUAGGCAUAUUUCAAGACUUUGUACUUUUGUUUAGAUUCCAGAUCUCUAUCUUUGUCAGCCAUAGUAAGGUUGAAGGCCAAGCCUUCAUUUCUUUGCUGAUGACACUGUUGGUUGGCUCAGUGUUCCAAUCUUUUUGAUAGAACAUAACAUAUGCAAUUUCUAUCUUGCAAAAUAGAUAUUUAAAUAUUAAGUAUGCAUUUCAGAUAUAUUUAUUAUUUCAAAGAAACAACUACAACAUCACUGCUACUGAGAAUUAUGAAUGUUCUUCCUUUAUCCUUUUACCUUUAUCCUUUUACCUUGCGGCAUAAUCCUCUGCUGGAAAGGACUGGGAGAAUGGGGAGGGAGUCAGCAAACACCCCACUCCCACUGUUUUCCCUUGCACUCUGUAAGCACCUACUUGGUUUUAUAGAGAGGUGUCAUUUGUGAUGUAUCUUUGAUUCCUGAGCUGGAACCCCAGGACCUUGGGCAUUGGAGACAAGGGCUAGAGGGAAUGUCGAUUUGUGUGUGAAUGACCAUAUUUUUAUUUUAUUCAAGUAUGGUAGGAACCACAAGUAAAGAGUUUUUUCCUAUUAAAAAGUUAAGUUAGUUACAGCUUCCAAGAGAAGGGUCCCAAGGGGAGGAAGAAGGGUGCCAUGUAGCGUAUAACACAAGGCUGUCUUGGAAAUUACAAGGAGGCAAGGGGAAAGCAUAGGUUAUCAAAGGGAAGAGUGAGUGAGGUAGAGUAGGUGGGCUGCGUAAAGCUUAGGACUCUGAACUAUAGGAGGGGUUGCUAGUUGUCCAUACCUUGCCCUGAAUGAAAACUGUCUACUGGCUGGUUUGUAUAUUAAAGACAUGUCUCUUGAUAUUAGCCCUGGGAGAACUAGUUCUUUGUCUGUAAGACCUGAAGAUGUCAACGCCUCAUAAAAUACAGAAAAAUUUAAGAACACAACUAAUACAUUAUCAUCACAAACACAUGCAUAUAGUGCAUUUGCUUCUGAGUAAUUUAUUUUGACCUUCUGAAGUCUGUUUGUAGACGAACACCUUACAACCUAAUUUGGGCAGGGCGGUGUGGUGGUGUACGCCUUUAAUCCCAGCACUUGGGAGGCAGAAGCAGGUGGAUUUCUGAGUUCGAGCACAGAAAAAAAAAAAAAAAAAACUGUCUGGAAUCUGGAAACAAACAAACAAAAACAGACCCCCCCCC